GUGUGUCUAUUUGAGGGAAAGCGGGAGGAAGGCUGAGAGUGUGGGGGGGGUGAGGAGGAGGAACGGGUGGCUGUGAGUGAAAACAGGGCUUCUCUUGCAGCACUGAUGCAGCACAAGUGUUGGUGAGCAGCACAAGGGCUUGACUGACGCGAGAUGCAGAUCCACUAAUCCUUCAGGCGAUCGCUCGGCGCCGAGCGGCUCGUCGGCGCAUCGGACCCCAGCGACAGCAGAUCGUGCUAUAAAAACUUGGGUGUAGGUGGUCAUAUAGCAGCUCAUUCACCGUUUUAGGCGAUGGAGGGGAUGGGAAGGGGAGAAAAAAAAAACACACACACACCCAGAGCAACAGCACCUGCUGCCUUCAUCCCAGAUUCACCAGGCAAAACAGCAUUCCCCAUUUACUAGACGGACUAUUAGCAGGACAAAGACGCGAGGAAAGGGGCCAAAACAAAGAGCGACCCGCUCCGAGGACCCGCACCAGCGCUGACUGGAAGCCAGUGUGUUGGGACCUGACACCGGGACUGUCGGGCAGAGCCAGCUGCAGACAGGGAGCAGAACCCGCGCGGUUUGAUCCAGAUGAAAACACACACAACCAGUCGGCGAGUGACUGGAAUCUUCAGCAACGGGCUGAAAGAUCAGCUCGAAUGCCGGGAGUGAAAGGAAGAGAACAAACACAAUAGAUGCCCCCCCCCCUCCAGCCCCUCUUUUAUCCAUUUCCAUCCAGGACCCGCGGGCACUCUGCCAACUUGGAAUCUUAAGAACCCAUUCAAAGAAAGCCACAGAAAGGGACUUGUUUAAAACCAGGAGCCAUUCUCUCACAGGCUCUUGUUUUUCCGUGCGUUUCCCACUGUUCAGUCUGCCUCUACACCCUCUGUCUCCCCACUCUUUGCUCCUGCUCACAUAGUAACUCCUCCCCACAACCCAUUGUCUCUCAUACAGUAUUAGGCUGAGGGGAUGCCACACUCGUUCCAGCCAGGGACUCGGGAGAGGGAGAAGGAGGUGGAACCAGUGGAACUACUCACCAGUGUUCUACCUGCUGGACUACGUGGAUCCAUCGACCCAGUAACAAUGCAGAAACACACCAGAAUCAUUGCAGCACCAGGGUCGAAUCUGGAAAUUAAAGGGUUUGUGACUCAGCAGCAGGAAAUUAAAUGUUUUACAGAUGGAUGCAUAAACAAAUUACAGAGUAAAUAGUAUAACAGCAUCUACACUGGGCCAAUGAAACCAAGAACCCUGUUAGGCCAAAUACCACAUCACACCAGAAUGUCAGCAACUUCAUAUACAUGUAAAUGUAUUGAGCUGCCAUAAACUACAGUGUAUAUUAUACUAUAUAUUAUGACUAUAAAAUUGUACUGUAACAUAAUUUUGCCUUAAGGAGGUGAUUUUUGAAUUACUAAAGCUAAUUUGUUACUACUGUAACUUACAUUAGCCAACUGUUAAAACAUGAAUUCAAAUUCAACACCCUGUAUAGAACCCAGUAUAGGUGUUAGUGAUAAUUAUACAUGGAAAGCAGCAGGAAAAAGAACAUAGAUUUGAAUAUAAAGUACAGUAGUGCGGAGAUUAAAAGUAUAAUUACAUUAAAGCUGGAAGGAAAAAUCGUGAGCGGACUGGGAUACAGCAUAUAAGGGUAGAAUCUAUUAUGGCAUACAAAGGAAGGUUGGAGUGGAGAUGAUAUAAUAGUUAGAAUGAGAUUUGGACAUAAAGGGCUCAACAGCAUA
rnacentral:lncRNA from 1 species